rnacentral:rRNA from 1 species
AGAACGAACGCUGGCGGCAGGCUUAACACAUGCAAGUCGAACGCCCCGCAAGGGGAGUGGCAGACGGGUGAGUAACGCGUGGGAAUCUACCUAGUUCUACGGAACAACAGUUGGAAACGACUGCUAAUACCGUAUACGCCCUAAGGGGGAAAGAUUUAUCGGAAUUAGAUGAGCCCGCGUAAGAUUAGCUAGUUGGUGGGGUAAUGGCCUACCAAGGCGACGAUCUUUAGCUGGUCUGAGAGGAUGAUCAGCCACACUGGGACUGAGACACGGCCCAGACUCCUACGGGAGGCAGCAGUGGGGAAUAUUGGACAAUGGGCGCAAGCCUGAUCCAGCCAUGCCGCGUGAGUGAUGAAGGCCUUAGGGUUGUAAAGCUCUUCAGUGGGAAGAUAAUGACGGUACCACAGAAGAAGCCCGGCUAACUUCGUGCCAGCAGCCGC